UGAGCAAUCUGCCCUUCUCAUCGGAAUAAGCGUUGGAAACGACGUCUAAUGCCGAAUACGACCUCCUUUCGCAUGAUGGAGGUGGAAAGCUCCGGCGGAGAAGGAUGAGCUCGCGGCCUAUCAGCUAGUUGGUGUGGGUAAUGCCCACCAAGGCGACGACGGGUAGCCGGCCUGAGAGGGCGACCGGCCACACGUGGGACUGAGACACGGCCCAGACUCCUACGGGAGCAG
rnacentral:rRNA from 1 species